GGCUCCUCGAUGAAAUGAUAGGCAUAAUCCAUUUAGUAACGUUUAUUUCUCCCGAACACUAUUAAUUAUUUGUCAUGAAUU